rnacentral:rRNA from 1 species
UACGGAGGGGGCUAGCGUUGUUCGGAAUUACUGGGCGUAAAGCGCGCGUAGGCGGACCUGCAAGUCGGGGGUGAAAGCCCGAGGCUCAACCUCGGAACUGCCUUCGAUACUGCAGGUCUCGAGUCCGGGAGAGGUGAGUGGAAUUCCUAGUGUAGAGGUGAAAUUCGUAGAUAUUAGGAAGAACACCAGUGGCGAAGGCGGCUCACUGGCCCGAUACUGACGCUGAGGCACGAAAGCGUGGGGAGCAAACAGG